AACGAACGCUGGCGGCAUGCCUAACACAUGCAAGUCGAACGAAGCCUUCGGGCUUAGUGGCGCAUGGGUGCGUAACGCGUGGGAAUCUGCCCUUGGGUUCGGAAUAACAGUUAGAAAUGACUGCUAAUACCGAAUGAUGUCUUCGGACCAAAGAUUUAUCGCCCAAGGAUGAGCCCGCGUCGGAUUAGCUAGUUGGUGAGGUAAAGGCUCACCAAGGCGACGAUCCGUAGCUGGUCUGAGAGGAUGAUCAGCCACACUGGGACUGAGAUACGGCCCAGACUCCUACGGGAGGCAGCAGUGGGGAAUAUUGGACAAUGGGGGGCAACCCUGAUCCAGCAAUGCCGCGUGAGUGAUGAAGGCCUUAGGGUUGUAAAGCUCUUUUGUCCAGGGAAGAUGAUGACUGUACCUGGAGAAUAAGCCCCGGACUAACGUUCGUGCCAGCAGCCGCGGUAA
rnacentral:rRNA from 1 species